rnacentral:lncRNA from 1 species
UGAAAAUCGAUCCCGACCUCAUCGAGUAAAAGCUGUUUCGACCUCUCUCGCUACUCAAUAGUAGUGCAGGGUUGGCCUCGAUCAAGGACAUAAAAAAACCUUACUCAUUCUGAACUACGGUAUGACUUGAUCCUCUUCACCGAGGUACAUAGGCAACUUAGAGUUUCAUUCUAAGUUCAGUCGCAUAAGUUCAAAAGAUACAUGUUGCCCCAAUCGUUGUUCGAAUGAAGUAUGAUGGAAUGUAAUCCAUUCAAUCAGCACUUGAAAAUCGAGCUGAAAUACCAUUCUUCUGUUGAAAUUUGUAUCUCAUUUGAUUUAAAGGGGGCAAGCCUCUAUGGUAAAUUGGUGUCUUCAAUGGACUAAUUAUAGUCUUUUAGGAGGCUACCAAGUAUUUGCAAUUAAUCUGGGAGAUUCGGUAUGCCUUCAUGUUCGCCAAACCUUCAAGUUUUUGGUCUUCAAGUUGAAGUCUUCAAAUCUGUCUAGCCUCAAAGUUAAAGUCUACGAAUCCUCCAAGUGUUCAAGUCGACCGGUUUUCUAGUUAAAAUCUUCAGAUCCGCCAAUUUUUCAAGUUGAAGUUUUCAAGUCCACCGCCCUUCAAGUUGAGGUAUUCAAGUCCGUCAGUUUUAAGUUGAAGUAUUCAAGCCCUCCAAGUCUUCAAGUCUAUCGGUCUUCAAGUUGAAGUCCUUAAGUUCGCUGGUCUUCAAGUUGAGUUGUUUAAGCCCUCAAAGCCUUUAAGUUGAAGUUUGUACGCUAAUUCAUCAAGUUGAAGUUUAAAGUACACUGCUCUUCAAGUUGGAGCGUCAAAGUCCGCCAAAUCUUUAAGUCCGUCAAAUCAUCAAGUUUGUCGGUCUUCAAGUUGAAGUCUACAAAUCCACCAAGUUUUUAAGCUGAGACUUUAUAAUUUUUCAGUCUUAAGGUGAAUAUUUAAGUCCCUUUGCACCUUAAAUUUGCCUCUUCGCAGGGUUGUCCUUAAAAGGAACUAUAAUUUUUCAAUCUUAAGAUAAAUAUUUAAGUCCCUUUGCACCUUAAGUGGUCUCAUCACAUAUUUGAUCCUUCUAUAUGUUGUUGAGAAUUUGUCCUUUCUAUAAGUUGCCAUGAGUUUGUCCUUCUACAUGAUGUUGAGAAUUUGUUCCUCUAUAUGUUGCCCAGUUGUGUCCUUCUGUACGCCGUAUGAACAUUUGUUCCCGAAGAUUAUCCUACUGAUUUCCGGACAGGGAUGAGUUGCCAUCCCUUUGUGCCCAAGGAAUUAAUCACCUUCUUCAUGCAUGUGAUAAUUUACCCUUAUUUGAUUGGCCUGUGAAAAAGAAAAGAAAGGCGAUAAAAGAAAUUACACGAAAGCAGAAGGGAAAAUUACCUGUAAAGCUCGAAUUCAAAGAAGUUUGUCGGCGUUGUUGAUUGAUGACCACAAUUGAAGAGCAUGUAAUAUAUAUAGAUUCCAACAAGGCGUCUGCAUAGAAUAUGUUUCGAUGUGGGACAUUGCUAUAAUUAGUUUUCUACAAGCACUUGACUAGUAAAGGCGGCAGCAACAAUUCGUUUCCAACAUGGAAGGGGAAUCGAGUAUGCAUGGCUAUCUCCUAGAAUCCUUACUAGAGACAACGAAGAUUACCUUGCAAAGAAUGUAAAUUGCUAACCAAAUUCAU